GCCAGUCUGCAUGGAGCCGACCUUGAAAUACCACCCUUUAAUGUUUGAUGUUCUAACGUGGACCCGUAAUCCGGGUUGCGGACAGUGUCUGGUGGGUAGUUUGACUGGGGCGGUCUCCUCCUAAAGAGUAACGGAGGAGCACGAAGGUUGGCUAAUCCUGGUCGGACAUCAGGAGGUUAGUGCAAUGGCAUAAGCCAGCUUGACUGCGAGCGUGACGGCGCGAGCAGGUGCGAAAGCAGGUCAUAGUGAUCCGGUGGUUCUGAAUGGAAGGGCCAUCGCUCAACGGAUAAAAGGUACUCCGGGGAUAACAGGCUGAUACCGCCCAAGAGUUCAUAUCGACGGCGGUGUUUGGCACCUCGAUGUCGGCUCAUCACAUCCUGGGGCUGAAGUAGGUCCCAAGGGUAUGGCUGUUCGCCAUUUAAAGUGGUACGCGAGCUGGGUUUAGAACGUCGUGAGACAGUUCGGUCCCUAUCUGCCGUGGGCGCUGGAGAACUGAGGGGGGCUGCUCCUAGUACGAGAGGACCGGAGUGGACGCAUCACUGGUGUUCGGGUUGUCAUGCCAAUGGCACUGCCCGGUAGCUAAAUGCGGAAGAGAUAAGUGCUGAAAGCAUCUAAGCACGAAACUUGCCCCGAGAUGAGUUCUCCCUGAGACUUAGAGUCUCCUGAAGGAACGUUGAAGACGACGACGUUGAUAGGCCGGGUGUGUAAGCGCAGCGAUGCGUUGAGCUAACCGGUACUAAUGAACCGUGAGGCUUAACCUUAC
rnacentral:rRNA from 2 species